CUCUCUAUCUCUCUCUCUCAUGGAUCUUCCUUAACCCACUUCCCCUCCUCCUCUCUUCUUCUUUACUCAAAACCCACCAUUUCUUUUCCAAAAUUUCAAACACAAAAAUACUACCCAAAACCACAAACCCUACCCAAAGCAAGGUAAGUCUCUCUAGCACUCACCAGCUCUCGGUGAAGCAAGGUUGGAGGGUUUCAACUGACCCAGUCUUAGUUUCAUUGAUCUCUGAGUUUUGGUAGUGGAAGGAUAACAAGAAAGCAAAAAUGGAUGCUGAAAUCAGAGAGCGGGAUUGGUGCAAUGUGGUAAUAUGUCAUAUGGAUUGGUAUAAUCUAUUUGCUCAUUUCUUUACCAUGGAAGCUACUUGAGAGAUUACUAUUCUUUUUUACCAAAAACUGAAUGGAGCUUGGACGACUUUUAGUGAAUACCCAAGAUCUGAACUCGAAACUCUAUAUGCUUGCUAUAGCUAGAGCUCAACAUUUUAAGCAUAAGCAACCAGAUGAGGAAGUGAAGAAAUAAUUUGUAGAAUUGGUGAAACGCUGUUAUUCUGAUUGGAUAUUUCACAUUAAAAAUCCUAUUUUUAAGAAGUACACAGGGAAAGAAGAUCGUUAUAAGAAUGUUCCUUCCUUCAUUCCUACACUCUUUUGGAAAAAAAGAUGAUGGAUAAAUGGAUGGAUAGAGAUUAGGGGGAUGGUACUAGUAGAGAUGAAGAGGACAACUCAAUCAAUAACACGAGGGAGGUUGAAAACAGCUUGGAGGGUAACUCAAAAGAAGACUAG